rnacentral:rRNA from 1 species
GAUGAACGCUGGCGGCGUGCCUAAUACAUGCAAGUCGAGCGAACAGAUGAGGAGCUUGCUCCUCUGACGUUGGCGGCGGACGGGUGAGUAACACGUGGAUAACCUACCUAUAAGACUGGGAUAACUUCGGGAAACCGGAGCUAAUACCGGAUAAUAUAUUUAACCGCAUGGUUCAAUAGUGAAAGACGGUUUUGCUGUCACUUAUAGAUGGAUCCGCGCCGCAUUAGCUAGUUGGUAAGGUAACGGCUUACCAAGGCAACGAUGCGUAGCCGACCUGAGAGGGUGAUCGGCCACGCUAGAGCAGAGACACGGUCCAGACUCCUACGGGAGGCAGCAGUAGGGAAUCUUCCGCAAUGGGCGAAAGCCUGACGGAGCAACGCCGCGUGAGUGAUGAAGGUCUUCGGAUCGUAAAACUCUGUUAUUAGGGAAGAACAAAUGUGUAAGUAACUAUGCACGUCUUGACGGUACCUAAUCAGAAAGCCACGGCUAACUACGUG